AGUGAACGCUGGCGGUAGGCCUAACACAUGCAAGUCGAACGGCAGCACAGUAGGAGCUUGCUCUUACGAGUGGCGAGUGGCGGACGGGUGAGGAAUACAUCGGAAUCUACUUUUUCGUGGGGGAUAACGUAGGGAAACUUACGCUAAUACCGCAUACGACCUCCGCGUGAAAGCAGGGGAUCUUCGGACCUUGCGCGAUUGAAUGAGCCGAUGUCGGAUUAGCUAGUUGGCGGGGUAAAGGCCCACCCAGGGCAAGAUCCGUAGCUGGUCUGAGAGGUUGAUGAGUGACACUGGAAAUGAGACACGGUCCAGACUCCUGAGGGAAGCAGCAGUGGGGAAUAGUGGACAAUGGGCGCAAGCCUGAUGCAGGCAGACCGCAUGGGGCAAGAAGGCCUUAGGGUUGCAAAGUCCAUUUGUUGGGAAAGAAAAGCAGCAGGGUAAUACCCCGCUGUUCUGACGGUACCCAAAGAAUAAGCACCGGCUAACUUCGUG
rnacentral:rRNA from 1 species